rnacentral:rRNA from 1 species
UACGUAGGGUGCAAGCGUUGUCCGGAAUUAUUGGGCGUAAAGAGCUCGUAGGCGGCCUGUCGCGUCGGCUGUGAAAACCCGAGGCUCAACCUCGGGCCUGCAGUCGAUACGGGCAGGCUAGAGUUCGGUAGGGGAGACUGGAAUUCCUGGUGUAGCGGUGAAAUGCGCAGAUAUCAGGAGGAACACCGGUGGCGAAGGCGGUUCUCUGGGAAUGACCUGACGCUGAGGAGCGAAAGUGUGGGGAGCGAACAGG